AUUCCCUUAGUAGCGGCGAGCGAAACGGGAAGAGCCCAAACCAACAAGCUUGCUUGUUGGGGUUGUAGGACACUCUAUACGGAGUUACAAAGGACGACAUUAGACGAAUCAUCUGGAAAGAUGAAUCAAAGAAGGUAAUAAUCCUGUAGUCGAAAAUGUUGUCUCUCUUGAGUGGAUCCUGAGUACGACGGAGCACGUGAAAUUCCGUCGGAAUCUGGGAGGACCAUCUCCUAAGGCUAAAUACUCUCUAGUGACCGAUAGUGAACCAGUACCGUGAGGGAAAGGUGAAAAGCACCCCGGAAGGGGAGUGAAAUAGAACCUGAAACCGUGUGCUUACAAGUAGUCAGAGCCCGUUAAUGGGUGAUGGCGUGCCUUUUGUAGAAUGAACCGGCGAGUUACGAUUUGAUGCAAGGUUAAGCAGUAAAUGUGGAGCCGUAGCGAAAGCGAGUCUGAAUAGGGCGUUUAGUAUUUGGUCGUAGACCCGAAACCAGGUGAUCUACCCUUGGUCAGGUUGAAGUUCAGGUAACACUGAAUGGAGGACCGAACCGACUUACGUUGAAAAGUGAGCGGAUGAACUGAGGGUAGCGGAGAAAUUCCAAUCGAACCUGGAGAUAGCUGGUUCUCUCCGAAAUAGCUUUAGGGCUAGCCUCAAGUGAUGAUUAUUGGAGGUAGAGCACUGUUUGGACGAGGGGCCCCUCUCGGGUUACCGAAUUCAGACAAACUCCGAAUGCCAAUUAAUUUAACUUGGGAGUCAGAACAUGGGUGAUAAGGUCCGUGUUCGAAAGGGAAACAGCCCAGACCACCAGCUAAGGUCCCAAAAUAUAUGUUAAGUGGAAAAGGAUGUGGCGUUGCCCAGACAACUAGGAUGUUGGCUUAGAAGCAGCCAUCAUUUAAAGAGUGCGUAAUAGCUCACUAGUCGAGUGACACUGCGCCGAAAAUGUACCGGGGCUAAACAUAUUACCGAAGCUGUGGAUUGUCCUUUGGACAAUGGUAGGAGAGCGUUCUAAGGGCGUUGAAGCAUGAUCGUAAGGACAUGUGGAGCGCUUAGAAGUGAGAAUGCCGGUGUGAGUAGCGAAAGACGGGUGAGAAUCCCGUCCACCGAUUGACUAAGGUUUCCAGAGGAAGGCUCGUCCGCUCUGGGUUAGUCGGGUCCUAAGCUGAGGCCGACAGGCGUAGGCGAUGGAUAACAGGUUGAUAUUCCUGUACCACCUAUAAUCGUUUUAAUCGAUGGGGGGACGCAGUAGGAUAGGCGAAGCGUGCGAUUGGAUUGCACGUCUAAGCAGUAAGGCUGAGUAUUAGGCAAAUCCGGUACUCGUUAAGGC
rnacentral:rRNA from 1 species